AUGGCGGCCCCGGUGGCUCUCACCAUCUUCCUGCUGAUCCUCCUCCCAGCGCACCAUGCUCUUGCCACGGCGGCCGGCGACGCGCACCCAGGCUACGCGGACACCGAGACCGACACCUGCGGGCCGGCGCUGGACCUGGGCGGUUCCUCCUCUUCCGCAGGUGCGGCCGGUCGGCGCUACGGCCCGGGGCUGGAGGAGUACGGCGGCGGGCGCAUCGUGGACAUUACACACGCGUUCCGGCCAGGCAUGCCGGCGUACGCGCCGGGCGCGACGGUGGGCCCCAUCGUGCGGCUCAAGGAGUCGAUGAAGAACGGGUCGGACUACAACUUGUCGGAGCUCAGCAUGGAGUGCCACAUAGGAACCCACGUCGACGCGCCGGGGCACUUUAACCAGGCCCACUUCGCCGCCGGCCUCGACGUCGACACGCUCGACCUCGAAGUCCUCAACGGUCCUGCAUUACUGGUCGAUGUUCCGAGACACACAAAUAUAACAGCUGAAGCAAUGGAAUCCCUAAAUAUACCGAAAGGUGUUCGUCGUGUUCUCUUCAGGACAUUGAACACAGACAGGGGACUCAUGUGGAAGGAAGGAGGUGAUAUGAGUUACGUUGGAUUUACGGAGGAUGGUGCCCAGUGGCUUGUUGACAACACCGACAUCAAGCUGGUUGGUCUGGACUAUUUAUCUAUUGCAUCAUUUGAUCACGCGUGCUCUGCCCAUGUGGUCUUCUUAAAAAAUGCGGAUAUCAUCUUAGUUGAACAUCUGAAGCUAGAAUACGUCGAGACCGGAUUAUACAUGUUGCACUGCUUACCUCUAAGAUUGGUUGGAUCUGACGGUUCACCAAUCAGGUGCAUUCUUAUCAAGUGA
rnacentral:rRNA from 1 species